UACGUAGGAGGCGAGCGUUGUCCGGAAUUACUGGGCGUAAAGCGCGCGUAGGCGGCGUCGUACGACCGCUGUGAAAGCCCCCGGCUCAACUGGGGAGGGUCAGUGGUAACGGCGAUGCUGAGAGUGCAGGAGAGGGAAGUGGAACUCCGGGAGUAGCGGUGAAAUGCGUAGAGACCCGGAGGAACACCAGUGGCGAAGGCGGCUUCCUGGUCUGUAACUGACGCUGAGGCGCGAAAGCUAGGGGAGCGAACGGG
rnacentral:rRNA from 1 species